rnacentral:rRNA from 1 species
UGGGGAAUAUUGCACAAUGGGCGCAAGCCUGAUGCAGCCAUGCCGCGUGUAUGAAGAAGGCCUUCGGGUUGUAAAGUACUUUCAGCGGGGAGGAAGGGAGUAAAGUUAAUACCUUUGCUCAUUGACGUUACCCGCAGAAGAAGCACCGGCUAACUCCGUGCCAGCAGCCGCGGUAAUACGGAGGGUGCAAGCGUUAAUCGGAAUUACUGGGCGUAAAGCGCACGCAGGCGGUUUGUUAAGUCAGAUGUGAAAUCCCCGGGCUCAACCUGGGAACUGCAUCUGAUACUGGCAAGCUUGAGUCUCGUAGAGGGGGGUAGAAUUCCGGGUGUAGCGGUGAAGUGCGUAGAGAUCUGGAGGAAUACCGGUGGCGAAGGCGGCCCCCUGGACGAAGACUGACGCUCAGGUGCGAAAGCGUGGGGAGCAAACAGG